rnacentral:lncRNA from 1 species
CCUGGAGCUGCUGUAGAUCGUUUAUCUGCUGCUGCGAGUCUUUAUCUAAGUGCAUGUAGGAACAGAGUUAAGCGGUUCUCCGGGUCUCUGUGGUUCUGCCGGACUCUCUGUAUUCAGGACGCUUCGCCAGGGACGUUCUCUGAUUCCUGAUUCCGGAACGGCGGAGGCUGAAGGUGAGGCUCUGAGAUCGGAGCGCCGUCGGAAAGAGGAAACAUACGAACAGGUAAACCAUCACCUCCGCUUUCUUCCCCCCGCCGCUGCCCCCCCCUGCACUGUGCCCGGCACCGCUGCCCAUCCAGAACCGCUGCCCACCCGGCACUGCGCCCGCCCCGGCACUACCAGGAGCAAGCUGGCGGGCCGGUCUGCGGGGCGUCUCGGAGGCGGCAGGACCGUCCUGGCUCCGGAAGUUUUGGUGAGGGUGAUGAAUGGCGGCAGCGCGAGUGGCGGCCGGCAGCACCUGCAGGCUGCUCCCCGUUUAAGCUGCUUACCGGCUGCCGAUUGGCCGCGGUUCCCCUCGCCGUGUAAUUACUCACCGCCUUCUUUAAAACCAGCGGAAAAACAGCAAAGAGCUUCCCUCCAAAAAACAGCAUUAUCAUAUAAAUUGUCUGUGUGUUUCUGGAGGAAACAGCAGGAUCUUCAGCAAGAGAGAGAGUGAGACAGAGAGAGAGAGAAAGAGAGAGAGAGAGAGACAGAGAGAAAGAGAGAGAGAGUGAGACAGAGAGAGAGAGAGAUCUGAUCCCCCGCGGGAAAGAGAGGGAACAUGUUCUACUCUGUGCUUAAAGGAAUAGUUUCGGCAACAUUUAAUCCAUUUACAGCACUCUCAGCCAAUCAGAGUCAAGUUCCC